rnacentral:rRNA from 1 species
AGCAGCCGCGGUAAUUCCAGCUCCAAUAGCGUAUAUUAAAGUUGUUGCAGUUAAAAAGCUCGUAGUUGAACUUCGGGGUUUACUCAUUGGUCAGGCUUAAUUGUCUGUACUGGUGAGAUGAAUCUCUACCUUCUGAGGAACUUUCAUGCCAUUUAUUUGGUGUGAUUGGAAAUCAGGACUGUUACUUUGAAAAAUUAGAGUGUUUAAAGCAGGCUAACGUCUGAAUACAUUAGCAUGGAAUAAUGAAAUAGGACGGAUUGAUUCUAUUUCGUUGGUUUCUAGGGUCACCGUAAUGAUUAAUAGGGAUAGUUGGGGGCAUUAGUAUUCAAUUGUCAGAGGUGAAAUUCUUGGAUUUAUUGAAGACUAACUACUGCGAAAGCAUUUGCCAAGGAUGUUUUCAUUAAUCAAGAACGAAAGUUAGGGGAUCGAAGACGAUCAGAUACCGUCGUAGUCUUAACCAUAAACUAUGCCGACUAGGGAUCGGACGAAGUUAAUUAAUAAUGACGCGUUCGGCACCUUA